rnacentral:lncRNA from 1 species
GGAAAAUAUUCUUCAAAGGAACAGGUAGAAUACUAAUUAUAGAAAACAUACAAGUGUUUUCCAUGAUAUCAUAUAGUGAGGUGGGGAAAAGUGUGAUUCAAUCCAGAAUGAAGGGUAGGCACCCAGACUUCCCCAAUUCUUUACCACUGAUUUCCCCCUUCUUUAGGGGAAACCUUGUGGCUUGGCUCCCAUUUAAAAAAAAAAAGGGUGUUCCAAAACAGUCAGUGCCUGGGAUAGGGACACAACAGGCCGGGCUAUCUGAGGGAAUGUAUGGGAUCAUCGGUGAGUUAAUGAUCAACUCUUCACUCACCCAGCCACCACCCUGAGCUGCUUGUUUCCUCGGCAGGCCAGGGAAAAAAGGGCAGCCAGGAAAGCGUUCGUACACAUAUGAGAAGUGCUUGCCAGCGGGUCUGGCACUGAGGCUGGGCUGGCUGUGUGUACAGGGAAGGAUGAAGCCUCUGACAAGCUGGUCAUGCAGAUCUUAUAGCAAGGAGUGACUUGACAAGUCAUGGAGGGGCCGGUGGUCCCUGCGGAUGCAACAGUAAAAUGCUUCAUCCCAGACGUUAAGCCCCAACCUAACCAAGAGGAGGAAGAGGAAGAGGGAUGGCAGCAGCGCUUGACUCCCCUGAUGGGAAGAAAGCCAAUGGGGUCCUUGGAAAGGAGAGACCAGGAUUGGAGGAGGAAUAUUCUUGGUGGUGUUCAGGGAUCAACCAGACCCAUGGAGGCUCCCAAGCUUCUAGGAGAAAAGGAGAAUGAAGGAACCUUUGGGUCAGUAAGGAAGGAUACUCAGCUCUCUGAUGGCUGCAGGGCCACCGUGGGGACAUCUCUUGGCCAGAUGGGAACUUUUCCAACAGGUACCAAGCAUGACAUAGUAGCAAAAUUUUAACUAGGGUGGGAUAGAGUUUUGUCCUGGUUACAAGUUUAGAAAAUGCAUAUUUUUAACAAAUGCAGUCCUUUAGCAGUACCCCCAUGGAACAAGCUAGCUUAGCACUUAGAACAGUGCCUGGCACAUAUUAUCACUUAAUAAAUGUUUACUGACUAACUGAACGUCUUAAUUA